UUUCUCUCUUCACUUUCAUUCCUCACUUUCUCUCUCUAGCGGCGGCACCCUCCGCCUUCUCUCUAGCUUCAAACGUCGGUCGACACCCUCUUUUCUCCCUUUCUAUCGCCGGCGCCCCUCUCCUCUCAGAUCUCACCCUUCUGUCGGCCUCACUCCCCUCAAAUCUCUCCCUUCCGUCGGUCUCUCUCCUCCCAGAUCUCACCGGCUUCCUUGCACCUCUUCCCUUCCGAUCGACCUCUCUCUUUCCAGAUCUCAGUCUCCCGUCGACCUCUCACCUCUCCGAUCUCACCCCCCUC
rnacentral:lncRNA from 1 species